CUCAGGACGAACGCUGGCGGCGUGCUUAACACAUGCAAGUCGAACGGAAAGGCCUUUUCGGAGGUACUCGAGUGGCGAACGGGUGAGUAACACGUGGGUGAUCUGCCCUGCACUCAGGGAUAAGCCUGGGAAACUGGGUCUAAUACCGGAUAGGACCGCACUUUAGUGUGUGUGGUGGAAAGUUUUUUCGGUGUAGGAUGAGCCCGCGGCCUAUCAGCUUGUUGGUGGGGUAAUGGCCUACCAAGGCGGCGACGGGUAGCCGGACUGAGAGGUUGGUCGGCCACAUUGGGACUGAGAUACGGCCCAGACUCCUACGGGAGGCAGCAGUGGGGAAUAUUGCACAAUGGGCGCAAGCCUGAUGCAGCGACGCCGCGUGGGGGAUGACGGCCUUCGGGUUGUAAACUCCUUUCGCCAGGGACGAAGCGUUUUGUGACGGUACCUGGAGAAGAAGCACCGGCUAACUACGUGCCAGCAGCCGCGGUAAUACGUAGGGUGCAAGCGUUGUCCGGAAUUACUGGGCGUAAAGAGCUCGUAGGUGGUUUGUCACGUCGUCUGUGAAAUUCCACAGCUUAACUGUGGGCGUGCAGGCGAUACGGGCUGACUUGAGUACUGUAGGGGUAACUGGAAUUCCUGGUGUAGCGGUGAAAUGCGCAGAUAUCAGGAGGACACCGAUGGCGAAGGCAGGUUACUGGGCAGUUACUGACGCUGAGGAGCGAAAGCAUGGGUA
rnacentral:rRNA from 1 species